rnacentral:pre_miRNA from 1 species
GAAGCCCCUCCAGGGUAAGUGGAAGACGGUGGACCCCAGCUCAUGUGCCCCCUUUGUGCCAUAUGUCUGUGGACCGCCCCUCACCCCAUCUUGGGGA